rnacentral:pre_miRNA from 1 species
CCCUUAACUAUUAAAAGUUUUGUUUUGGUUUCUUAACUUAUUUUUUGGUUUCGUUUUGGUCCCUUAACUCUAAUACAUUCAUCCUAGCAUAAAGGACCAAAGUGGUUGACGGAGGAAGAGUUAAGGGACCAAAACGAAACCAAAAAAUAAGUUAAGGGACCAAAACGAAACCAAAAAAUAAGUUAAGGAACCAAAACGAAACUUUUAAUAGUUAAGGGA